rnacentral:rRNA from 1 species
AGCCCAGAGCCUGAAUCAGUGUGUGUGUUAGUGGAAGCGUCUGGAAAGGCGCGCGAUACAGGGUGACAGCCCCGUACACAAAAAUGCACAUGCUGUGAGCUCGAUGAGUAGGGCGGGACACGUGGUAUCCUGUCUGAAUAUGGGGGGACCAUCCUCCAAGGCUAAAUACUCCUGACUGACCGAUAGUGAACCAGUACCGUGAGGGAAAGGCGAAAAGAACCCCGGCGAGGGGAGUGAAAAAGAACCUGAAACCGUGUACGUACAAGCAGUGGGAGCACGCUUAGGCGUGUGACUGCGUACCUUUUGUAUAAUGGGUCAGCGACUUAUAUUCUGUAGCAAGGUUAACCGAAUAGGGGAGCCGAAGGGAAACCGAGUCUUAACUGGGCGUUAAGUUGCAGGGUAUAGACCCGAAACCCGGUGAUCUAGCCAUGGGCAGGUUGAAGGUUGGGUAACACUAACUGGAGGACCGAACCGACUAAUGUUGAAAAAUUAGCGGAUGACUUGUGGCUGGGGGUGAAAGGCCAAUCAAACCGGGAGAUAGCUGGUUCUCCCCGAAAGCUAUUUAGGUAGCGCCUCGUGAAUUCAUCUCCGGGGGUAGAGCACUGUUUCGGCAAGGGGGUCAUCCCGACUUACCAACCCGAUGCAAACUGCGAAUACCGGAGAAUGUUAUCACGGGAGACACACGGCGGGUGCUAACGUCCGUCGUGAAGAGGGAAACAACCCAGACCGCCAGCUAAGGUCCCAAAGUCAUGGUUAAGUGGGAAACGAUGUGGGAAGGCCCAGACAGCCAGGAUGUUGGCUUAGAAGCAGCCAUCAUUUAAAGAAAGCGUAAUAGCUCACUGGUCGAGUCGGCCUGCGCGGAAGAUGUAACGGGGCUAAACCAUGCACCGAAGCUGCGGCAGCGACGCUUAUGCGUUGUUGGGUAGGGGAGCGUUCUGUAAGCCUGUGAAGGUGUGCUGUGAGGCAUGCUGGAGGUAUCAGAAGUGCGAAUGCUGACAUAAGUAACGAUAAAGCGGGUGAAAAGCCCGCUCGCCGGAAGACCAAGGGUUCCUGUCCAACGUUAAUCGGGGCAGGGUGAGUCGACCCCUAAGGCGAGGCCGAAAGGCGUAGUCGAUGGGAAACAGGUUAAUAUUCCUGUACUUGGUGUUACUGCGAAGGGGGGACGGAGAAGGCUAUGUUGGCCGGGCGACGGUUGUCCCGGUUUAAGCGUGUAGGCUGGUUUUCCAGGCAAAUCCGGAAAAUCAAGGCUGAGGCGUGAUGACGAGGCACUACGGUGCUGAAGCAACAAAUGCCCUGCUUCCAGGAAAAGCCUCUAAGCAUCAGGUAACAUCAAAUCGUACCCCAAACCGACACAGGUGGUCAGGUAGAGAAUACCAAGGCGCUUGAGAGAACUCGGGUGAAGGAACUAGGCAAAAUGGUGCCGUAACUUCGGGAGAAGGCACGCUGAUAUGUAGGUGAAGUCCCUCGCGGAUGGAGCUGAAAUCAGUCGAAGAUACCAGCUGGCUGCAACUGUUUAUUAAAAACACAGCACUGUGCAAACACGAAAGUGGACGUAUACGGUGUGACGCCUGCCCGGUGCCGGAAGGUUAAUUGAUGGGGUCAGCGCAAGCGAAGCUCUUGAUCGAAGCCCCGGUAAACGGCGGCCGUAACUAUAACGGUCCUAAGGUAGCGAAAUUCCUUGUCGGGUAAGUUCCGACCUGCACGAAUGGCGUAAUGAUGGCCAGGCUGUCUCCACCCGAGACUCAGUGAAAUUGAACUCGCUGUGAAGAUGCAGUGUACCCGCGGCAAGACGGAAAGACCCCGUGAACCUUUACUAUAGCUUGACACUGAACAUUGAGCCUUGAUGUGUAGGAUAGGUGGGAGGCUUAGAAGUGUGGACGCCAGUCUGCAUGGAGCCGACCUUGAAAUACCACCCUUUAAUGUUUGAUGUUCUAACGUUGACCCGUAAUCCGGGUUGCGGACAGUGUCUGGUGGGUAGUUUGACUGGGGCGGUCUCCUCCUAAAGAGUAACGGAGGAGCACGAAGGUUGGCUAAUCCUGGUCGGACAUCAGGAGGUUAGUGCAAUGGCAUAAGCCAGCUUGACUGCGAGCGUGACGGCGCGAGCAGGUGCGAAAGCAGGUCAUAGUGAUCCGGUGGUUCUGAAUGGAAGGGCCAUCGCUCAACGGAUAAAAGGUACUCCGGGGAUAACAGGCUGAUACCGCCCAAGAGUUCAUAUCGACGGCGGUGUUUGGCACCUCGAUGUCGGCUCAUCACAUCCUGGGGCUGAAGUAGGUCCCAAGGGUAUGGCUGUUCGCCAUUUAAAGUGGUACGCGAGCUGGGUUUAGAACGUCGUGAGACAGUUCGGUCCCUAUCUGCCGUGGGCGCUGGAGAACUGAGGGGGGCUGCUCCUAGUACGAGAGGACCGGAGUGGACGCAUCACUGGUGUUCGGGUUGUCAUGCCAAUGGCACUGCCCGGUAGCUAAAUGCGGAAGAGAUAAGUGCUGAAAGCAUCUAAGCACGAAACUUGCCCCGAGAUGAGUUCUCCCUGAC